rnacentral:tRNA from 1 species
ACUUAAGUAGUUUAAGAAAAAUUAUGAUUUGUGAUAUCGUAGAUAUAAAAAUUUAUCUUAGGUU